UUUAGCCUCAUGAGAUAUGAGUGCCCUGCAGGAAUGAAAAGAAUCCUUCAUCAAUAGCUUCCUGCCCCCAAAUAAGGAACCAUUGCUCUGUUCUCCUCAGCAAAUAAUAUUGACAUGAAACUUACUGCCAUCUGCUUCCCAAAUAAAGGCUUCUGUUGGGACAACCUUCAAGACCAGGGGCUGAGCCCAGCAUACUCAAAGGCUGUGGAUUCAUCAUCAAGAACAAGAAACGGAUGGAGAACCACACAGAGAUACACAAUACCUAAAUGUCCCCACCAUGGUAUGACACAGCCAAGAAAUUUUUCCUAGAAGUUGUGUUAUGCUUUUUUGAUAGCCAGCCUCUGAAACAGUGAAAUAAUUAAAUGUUUUCUCUUUAUAAGUUA